rnacentral:rRNA from 1 species
CCCCACUGCUAUCGAGGUGGGACUAAGCCAUGCUAGUUGAGCGCACAGAACUAUGUCUGUGAGCGGCACACUGCUCAGUAACACGUAGCUAACCUACCCUUAGGACGUGGACAACCCCGAGAAAUUGGGGCUAAUCCGCGAUAGAUGUAUUGUCCUGGAAUGGUAUUACGUCUAAAGGUAUCCCAUACAUGUUUGGUAUACGCCUAAGGAUGGGGCUGCGGCCGAUCAGGCUGUUGGUGAGGUAAUGGCUCACCAAACCUUUGACCGGUACGGGCCAUGAGAGUGGUAGCCCGGAGAUGGACACUGAGACAAGGGUCCAGGCCCUACGGGGCGCAGCAGGCGCGAAACCUCCUCAAUGCACUUACGUGCGAAGGGGCUACCUCGAGCGCCACCUGAUGAAGGUGGCUUUUCCUAGGUCUAAAAAGCCUUGGGAAUAAGAGGGGGGCAAGACUGGUGUCAGCCGCCGCGGUAACACCAGCCCCUCGAGUGGUGGGGAUGAUUAUUGGGCCUAAAGCGUCCGUAGCCUGCCGUGUAAGUUUCCCGUUAAAUCCAGCGUCUCAAGCGUUGGACUGCGGGAAAUACUGUACGGCUAGAGAGUGGGAGAGGUCAGCGGUAUUCUGGGGGUAGGGGCGAAAUCCUUUGAUCCCCGGAGGACCACCAGUGGCGAAGGCUGCUGUCUAGAACACGUCUGACGGUCAGGGACGAAAGCUGGGGUAGCGAACCGGAUUAGAUACCCGGGUAGUCCCAGCCGUAAACGAUGCAUGCUAGGUGUUGGGUUGGCCACGAGCCACCCCAGUGCCGCAGGGAAGCCGUUAAGCAUGCCGCCUGGGAAGUACGAUCGCAAGGUUGAAACUUAAAGGAAUUGGCGGGGGAGCACCACCAGGCGUGAAGCCUGCGGUUU